rnacentral:rRNA from 1 species
GCGGGGGAGUCUUCGGACCUCGCGCCAUUAGAUGAGCCUAGGUCGGAUUAGCUAGUUGGUGAGGUAAUGGCUCACCAAGGCGACGAUCCGUAACUGGGUCUGAGAGGAUGAUCAGUCACACUGGAACUGAGACACGGUCCAGACUCCUACGGGAGGCAGCAGUGGGGAAUAUUGGACAAUGGGCGAAAGCCUGAUCCAGCCAUGCCGCGUGUGUGAAGAAGGUCUUCGGAUUGUAAAGCACUUUAAGUUGGGAGGAAGGGUAGUAACCUAAUACGUUGCUACUUUGACGUUACCGACAGAAUAAGCACCGGCUAACUUCGUG